rnacentral:rRNA from 1 species
CGGGGUGAGUAAUGCUUGGGAAUCUAGCUUAUGGAGGGGGAUAACUACGGGAAACUGUAGCUAAUACCGCGUAGUAUCGAGAGAUGAAAGUGUGGGACCUUCGGGCCACACGCCAUAGGAUGAGCCCAAGUGGGAUUAGGUAGUUGGUGAGGUAAAGGCUCACCAAGCCGACGAUCUCUAGCUGGUCUGAGAGGAUGACCAGCCACACUGGGACUGAGACACGGCCCAG